CGCAGCGGGGCGGCGCAGCAGGCGCGGGCGGGAGCGAGGCAGCAUCAAUGAACGGUCACCACAGGCAGCACGGGACAUCCUAACAGCUUUCACUGCUGCCUCACAGCCUCCGAACCGUGGAGGGGAGAUGAGGGCAAACAUCGAAGGAAAUUCCAGGGCAACUGCAGGCACACAUUACCCAGGAAGCUGAAGGCAGGAAGGCAACGCAUGGAAUCUCAAACUCAGAACAGCAGAAUGAAGAAAGGUGUUACCUGGCUUUGCUUUUGAAAAGAACAAAACAGUAUGUGUUUACAAAUGAUGGUUUUGGAACAAGAAUAGAUGUAAGCAGCUCAUCCGGCUUCCCAUUACGAGGCACUCCUGACACCGCCAGCUGAUGAACCAGGAUGUCAGGCUCCUUGGAGACGGCUGCACACACAGCUUCCCCAAUGCCGCCUGGGGAAGCAAGAGACACUGGGAUCUUUUCUGGAAGUGGCUAGUUAGCCUUAAAGCCCCAUCAUAUAGAGGCUUUUGAAUUUGCUGGUUCCCAGGGGAAAAUUUUUUUUACUAGUCAUUGAUCAUGUAAACAGUCAUUCUCAGACAGGCUGGAAGAGUUCUUCCUCUAAAGUUCAAGUCUCCAAAUUGCUCCCACCGCCCCCCUACCUACAGCAGCCGCUGCUCUCUACCUGGGCUCCAUGGAUGGGGAGCUUAGGUUCUUAAAGCUGUCAGGGAUCUGAAAAGGAUUAACACACUGCCACACUAGAAAAAAAAUGUUUUUCCUUGGGGCCAUGGUGUUGUAUUG